GGAGAAUGAAUCGACGGCCUCAAACUUGUGUAUCGACGUCCUCGUUACUUGCUGUCAUCGUUAAUCGAUAUCAUAAGGUCAAAAUUGCAUCAGUUCUCUCUCUCUCUCUCUCUCUCUCUCUCUCUCUCUCUCUCUCUCUUUUAGUCUCGCCUUCCACCCUUUCCUUAAUCUACUGCUCACUUUCGUUCGAAGAUUCAUUCAACCUCGAUCAGAAAUUAGACUACGAGUAAUAUAGACCAUAAUAUUUGGUUUCGAUUGAAUACAAAAUACCGACGAAGCGACCAUCGAUGAUCAUUAGGAGAUAAGGACAUCAGGUUAGCUUUUGCUUAUUUUGUCAAUUCUUCCCAAAUUUGAUUUCUAAUUCACGUUCUUGUCAAUCUGAUAACUGAUCAAAUGCUGAAAACUUACAACUUUUUUUUUCCUGAUUAUGUUUGUGUAUCAGAUUUUUGGAGACUUGAUUGGAGUCGAUCUUCAUUCUUUAUUACCUCCACGUUUCAGAUUGUUUAGUUAACAAAGUAGUAUCUUUGUAAAUUUUUGAUUCAGAAGUUUUAAUCAUGUUCUAAAUUUUCUAAUCUUUGUUUUUUUAAUUUAUUAUGCAGUUGGAGCUUUCUUUGAAUUGAAUCUGUUCUGCAACUUUAAGAAAGAAAUUAGAAAUCAAGUGUAAUCUUUUCCUUUAACCAGUAGUGUUUUUUUUUUUUUUUUUGACAAUCUACAAUGUUUCCUAAAAGACAUUUAUCGGAGGCCAGAAAAAGAGAAACAAAAAAUUGCCGAUGCUUUCAUUCAAACUCAAAAAAGAUAUAUUCAUAGCUUUUUUUAAACCAUCAAGUCUAUCUAUUUUGAAUGAAAAUGAUGCUAAUUUGGAUGACAAAAAUACUAAUUUAAAUGAAUGUAUAAUUAUUUUUAACCACAGAAUUUCGGAUUUGCUCGAUAAUCAAUCA
rnacentral:lncRNA from 1 species